GCGCCCGUAGCUCAGCUGGAUAGAGCGCUGCCCUCCGGAGGCAGAGGCCGCAGGUUCGACUCCUGCCGGGCGCGCCA
rnacentral:tRNA from 2 species